AUUGAACGCUGGCGGCAUGCCUUACACAUGCAAGUCGAACGGCAGCGGGGGAGAAGCUUGCUUUUCCUGCCGGCGAGUGGCGAACGGGUGAGUAAUACAUCGGAACGUGCCCUGUAGUGGGGGAUAACUAGUCGAAAGAUUAGCUAAUACCGCAUACGACCUGAGGGUGAAAGUGGGGGACCGCAAGGCCUCAUGCUAUAGGAGCGGCCGAUGUCUGAUUAGCUAGUUGGUGGGGUAAAGGCCUACCAAGGCGACGAUCAGUAGCUGGUCUGAGAGGAAGAUCAGCCACCAUGGGACUGAGGCACGGCCCAGACUCCUACGGGAGGCAGCAGUGGGGAAUUUUGGACAAUGGGCGAAAGCCUGAUCCAGCAAUGCCGCGUGUGUGAAGAAGGCCUUCGGGUUGUAAAGCACUUUUGUCCGGAAAGAAAUGGCUCUGGUUAAUACCUGGGGUCGAUGACGGUACCGGAAGAAUAAGGACCGGCUAACUACGUGCCAGCCGCCGCAGUAA
rnacentral:rRNA from 1 species